CAGCGUGCUCCGCGCGGGCCGCCGCGGCUGACGGCGCCCUUCCUGUGCGCGCGCCGCGCUGCGGGGAGCGGCCGGAUAUACCCGCCUGGGCCGCGCGCUGCGAGGAGGAGCGGUUGGGCCGCGCUCCGUGAGCAGGAGGAGGAAGGAGGGAGAGCUUGAUUGAAAGCAGCAUGGAAGAUUCUCUUGGGGACCUGUCCAUUCAGAGAGAUGCCAUCCUGUCUGAGUUGUACCAUAUUCAGAUCACCACCAAGAAACUGGUGCAGGAGCUGAGAUCCUUGGUGGCUUUAACUGACCCAGAGGAAGGGAAAUUGUUUCAGUCUCAAGAGACAGCUUUAAAGUCACUGGAUAUUUGGAAGACCUUAUUUGCUGCAGCUGGGCCUAAGCCAGAGAGCAC
rnacentral:lncRNA from 1 species